UUCCAGACUCCUACGGGAGGCAGCAGUGGGGAAUAUUGCACAAUGGGGGAAACCCUGAUGCAGCAACGCCGCGUGAGUGAAGAAGUAUUUCGAUAUGUAAAGCUCUAUCAGCAGGGAAGAAGAUGACGGUACCUGAGUAAGAAGCCCCGGCUAACUACGUGCCAGCAGCCGCGGUAAUACGUAGGGGGCAAGCGUUAUCCGGAUUUAUUGGGUUUAAAGGGUGCGUAGGCGGAAUAUCAAGUCAGCGGUAAAAAUUCGGGGCUCAACCCCGUCGUGCCGUUGAAACUGAUGUUCUUGAGUGGGCGAGAAGUAUGCGGAAUGCGUGGUGUAGCGGUGAAAUGCAUAGAUAUCACGCAGAACUCCGAUUGCGAAGGCAGCAUACCGGCGCCCAACUGACGCUGAAGCACGAAAGCGUGGGUAUCGAACAGGAUUAGAUACCCCAGUA
rnacentral:rRNA from 1 species